GGGGCAGCGGGGAGGAAGCUUGCUUUCUCCGCCGGCGACCGGCGCACGGGUGAGUAACACGUAUGCAACCUGCCCCUGUCAGGGGGACAACCCGCCGAAAGGCGGGCUAAACCCGCGUACAUGCCACCGGGGCAUCCCGGAGGCAGGAAAGGCUUCGGCCGGACAGGGAUGGGCAUGCGGCGCAUUAGGCAGUAGGCGGGGUAACGGCCCACCUAACCGACGAUGCGUAGGGGUUCUGAGAGGAAGGUCCCCCACACUGGUACUGAGACACGGACCAGACUCCUACGGGAGGCAGCAGUGAGGAAUAUUGGUCAAUGGUCGGGAGACUGAACCAGCCAAGCCGCGUGAGGGAGGAAGGUACAGAGUAUCGUAAACCUCUUUUGUCAGGGAACAAAGGCGGGGACGUGUCCCCGGAUGAGUGUACCUGAAGAAAAAGCAUCGGCUAACUCCGUGCCAGCAGCCGCGGUAAUACGGAGGAUGCGAGCGUUAUCCGGAUUUAUUGGGUUUAAAGGGUGCGCAGGCGGUCUGUUAAGUCAGCGGUCAAAGCCCGGGGCUCAACCCCGGCCCGCCGUUGAAACUGGCAGUCUCGAGUUGGAGAGAAGUAUGCGGAAUGCGCGGUGUAGCGGUGAAAUGCAUAGAUAUCGCGCAGAAUUCCGAUUGCGAAGGCAGCAUGCCGGCUCCACACUGACGCUGAGGCACGAAAGCGUGGGUAUCGAACAGGAUUAGAUACCCUGGUAGUCCACGCAGUAAACGAUGAAUGCUGGCUGUCCGGGGGGACUGACCCCUGGGUGGCGAAGCGAAAGCGAUAAGCAUUCCACCUGGGGAGUACGCCGGCAACGGUGAAACUCAAAGGAAUUGACGGGGGCCCGCACAAGCGGAGGAACAUGUGGUUUAAUUCGAUGAUACGCGAGGAACCUUACCCUGGCUCAAACGGGGAGUGGCGCAGGCAGAGACGCCUGUUUCCCACGGGACACUCCCCGAGGUGCUGCAUGGUUGUCGUCAGCUCGUGCCGUGAGGUGUCGGCUUAAGUGCCAUAACGAGCGCAACCCCCGCGUGCAGUUGCUAACAGUCAACGCUGAGGACUCUGCACGGACUGCCGGCGCAAGCCGCGAGGAAGGCGGGGAUGACGUCAAAUCAGCACGGCCCUUACGUCCGGGGCGACACACGUGUUACAAUGGGUGGUACAGCGGGAAGCCAGGCGGCGACGCCGAGCGGAACCCGAAAUCCACUCUCAGUUCGGAUCGGAGUCUGCAACCCGACUCCGUGAAGCUGGAUUCGCUAGUAAUC
rnacentral:rRNA from 1 species